UACGUAGGUGGCGAGCGUUGUCCGGAAUUAUUGGGCGUAAAGAGCUCGUAGGCGGCUUGUCGCGUCGGAUGUGAAAGCCCGGGGCUUAACUCUGGGUCUGCAUUCGAUACGGGCAGGCUAGAGUUCGGUAGGGGAGAUCGGAAUUCCUGGUGUAGCGGUGAAAUGCGCAGAUAUCAGGAGGAACACCGGUGGCGAAGGCGGAUCUCUGGGCCGAUACUGACGCUGAGGAGCGAAAGCGUGGGGAGCAAACAGG
rnacentral:rRNA from 1 species